rnacentral:miRNA from 1 species
GCUUGGUGCAGGUCGGGAA